rnacentral:rRNA from 1 species
AGUGAACGCUGGCGGUAGGCCUAACACAUGCAAGUCGAACGGCAGCACAGUAAGAGCUUGCUCUUACGGGUGGCGAGUGGCGGACGGGUGAGGAAUACAUCGGAAUCUACUUUUUCGUGGGGGAUAACGUAGGGAAACUUACGCUAAUACCGCAUACGACCUACGGGUGAAAGCAGGGGAUCUUCGGACCUUGCGCGAUUGAAUGAGCCGAUAUCGGAUUAGCUAGUUGGCGGGGUAAAGGCCCACCAAGGCGACGAUCCGUAGCUGGUCUGAGAGGAUGAUCAGCCACACUGGAACUGAGACACGGUCCAGACUCCUACGGGAGGCAGCAGUGGGGUAUAUUGGACAAUGGGCGCAAGCCUGAUCCAGCCAUACCGCGUGGGUGAAGAAGGCCUUCGGGUUGUAAAGCCCUUUUGUUGGGAAAGAAAAGCAGCAGGUUAAUACCCCGCUGUUCUGACGGUACCCAAAGAAUAAGCACCGGCUAACUUCGUG